rnacentral:rRNA from 1 species
AUGAACGCUGGCGGCGUGGAUAAGGCAUGCAAGUCGGACGAUUUCCUUUUUGAAGAAGAUGCGAUUACAUCAAGUCAACUGAUAUUUUGGUAGAUAGUGGCGAACGAGCUAGUAACACCUUGGUACGUACCCAAAAGUUUGGUAUAGCUCGCCGAAAGGCGGGGUAAUCCCAAAUAAUCCCUCUAUCUAUCGGAUAGAAGGGUAAAGUCGCAAGACGCUUUUGGAGCGGCCUAGGACCGAUCAGUUAGUUGGUGAGGUAAUGGCUCACCAAGACGAUGACCGGUAGGGG